AUUGGGCUGUCAUUUACUAGCUGUAAAAUUGGGGUUGUGAUAGUCUCUACCUCACAGAGUUGUUGGGAGAAUCAAAUAUGAUCACUGUCAUAAAACUUUAGGCUAGAUCCUGACACUCAGCCAAGUAUACAGUAUGCACAUAGGAAAUGGUACUAGAACUUUUGUUAAUACGCGAUGGGAAGUUUCUAUGGUGUGGAAAAUUUUUAAAUGAAUGAAACACAGUCCUUUCUUUAAGAAUCUCACUGAAGAGGGAGUAGAAGACAGGUCAGUGGAUAAUUAUGAUAUACAGACCAUAGUAAAUGCAAUGUAUAAUAAUAGGAGUAAAUAUUGAGUGUUGCUUUAGGAGACAUGUCAGUGCUCCGACAUAGGGAAUCAUUAAGGGUGAAAGGGCCAUAUACUUGCGUGAAGCCUGUAAAUGUGAAAGACUAGGUCCUAGCAAGGCCAGCAUUGCCAUUCUGCUGUCCUAAUGAUGGAUGGGGAUUCGUGAGCAAUUGAAUUGAGCCACUGCCAUUACUAUUGAUUGUUGCAUAGACUUCUCCAUCAGAGCCAGUAGGCCACAGUGUGGGUCAGUGGCCAGACUGACAUAGGUUUAUGACCUUUCAUAGGCUUCCCAUGUGUCUCACCACACACCCAUCUGCCUGGGGCCUAGGACCAAGCUGGCGGUAAAGGACUUGAGAAAAUGAGGCUUGAAUUAAGUGACCUCAGAUCUAAACCAAAUGUGGCUGGAGCCUCUUUCUUGUUUUGAGAAGGAUUUUUUGUUGUUGUUGUUGUUGUUAUCAGAGUUUUGGAAGCAGUUUAAUGAAGGGCGUAGAUGUGGAAAUGAGAUGCAUGUAGGUUUCAAUAGUAACUCCUAUUGCCUUGCUCUUUGACCCUAAGAAAGUUCCUUAUCCACUUUGAAUCUCAGUUCAUUGUCUACCAAACAGGGAAAAUGAGAUCUACCUUAUCAGGAUUUUGGGGUUUUGUUGUUCAUAACAGCUUCUUUGAGAUGUAAUUUAUAUACCAUAACAUUUCACCCUUUUAAAGUGAUUUCAGUCAGUGAUUUUUUAGUGUAUUUAGAGAGUCAUGCAACCAUCACCACUAUCUAAUUCCAGAAUAUUUUCAUCACCCCCAUAAGAAACCCAUACCCGGGCCGGGCGCGUGGCUCAAGCCUGUAAUCCCAGCACUUUGGGAGGCCGAGAUGGGCAGAUCACGAGGUCAGGAGAUCGAGACCAUACUGGCCUACACGGUGAAACCCCGUCUCUACUAAAAAAUACAAAAAACUAGCCGGGCGAGGUGGCAGGCACCUGUAGUCCCAGCUACUCAGGGGCUGAGGCAGGAGAAUGGCGUAAACCCGGGAGGCGGAGCUUGCAGUGAGCUGAGAUCUGGCCACUGCACUCCAGCCUGGGCGACAGAGCGAGACUCCACCUCAAAAAAAAAAAGAAAAAA
rnacentral:lncRNA from 1 species